GGACCCAGCCUAGGUGGUGGUGUCAGACUCAAUUUGGGGGUCUUGAUAAUCUCUAUGGAUGGGAAUGGUUCUUGUGAGGACCAGGGAAGUGGCGAUGCUUCCUGUGGCUGGUGCUCAUCUACCUGAGGGCCUUCCUCUGCAUGGACUGAAAUCUUCUGUGCCUCUCUGUCUGGAUUAUGGGCAUCCGACAGCCGCCCGGCAUCUGAAGAAUGAUUCUAACCAAACAAGAGCCAAACAUGAUAGCAAGAAUUCCAAACAAAAGCAAACAAAAAAACAAAGGGAAAAGGAAGUUUACAGAGACACAGUGGGAAGCAGGAGAAAACUUAGAAUUCCACUACAACGAAAUAGACAAGAAUAUUGUUGCUAGAAGACCCUCUCAUCCUUGUUCUGUUCCUGAAGAUAAAACUGCAGAAGUAAGGCAAAAUCAGCCGAGGCCAAGAUGGAGGUAGAAGACAGACAAGGGUUAGUCACUGUCCCGUGACCACAGUUAAAAAUCAUAAUUACAAGCACCAUGACGUACCUUGUCAAGAUCAAACUCAACACCCCUCGAGUAAAAGGGGUAUGAAUGCUGUCCCUGGAAAAACUCGCUAUUUCUCUGAAAUUUCGCUCACACAUAAUUUUUAGUGCCCCCCCCCCGACCUUAGAACUCCCACAUAUAUGUUCCUGUUUCUCUCUUCUCCAUUCCCUGGUCAGUGAA